AUCACUUCAUCAAAGCUGAAGGGAAGCUUCUUCAAGCUAAGUUGCUUGCGCCAAGGAAACAAGUCCCUUUUUGACCACCAAGAGUAUGGAAUUUCACAGAGCCAUCAAAGGACCAUAAGCGACAGUGACCUCAAAGACAUCAUCAUUAACUGACCUUGCUGGUUGUGGGGAGUUAGCGGGAGAAAUUACAUGAGAAUGAGUUACGGUAAU
rnacentral:lncRNA from 1 species